GGGGGGAAAUUAGGGGGUAAUUAGGGGUAAUUAGGUGGUAAUUAGGGGUAAUUAGUGGUAAUUAGGGGUAAUUAGUGGUAAUCAGGGUGUAAUUAGUGGUAAUUAGGGGGUAAUUAGUGGUAAUCAGUGGUAAUCGGGGGGUUAUUAGUGGUAAUCGGGGGGUAAUUAGGGGGUAAUUAGUGGCAAAUAGGGGUAAUUAGGUGGUAAUUAGGUGGUAAUUAGGGGUAAUCAGGGGUAAUCAGGGGCUAAUUAGGGGGUAACUAGGGGUAAUUAGUGGUAAUUAGUGGUAAUUAGGGGUAAUUAGUGGUAAUUAGUGGUAAUCAGGCGUGAUUAGUGGUAAUUAGGGCUAAUUAGUGGCCUGGGAAAAGGCUUCAGAGUGUGUGGGUUGGGAGAAAUGACAUUGGAGAGGUCCUGGAAGGGAAAAGAGGUGGAGUUCCAUUAACCCUCAGUGUUAAGGCUUGGGUUAAAGGGUCCUGGAAGGGAAAAGUGGAGUUCCAUUGACCUUAACUGUUAGUUAUAGGCUUAAAGGGUCCUGGAAGGGAAAAGAGGUGGAGUCCCAUUGGCCCUCAGUGUUAAGUGUUGGCUUAAAGGGUCCUGGAAGGGAAAAGAGGUGGGGUUCCAUUAACCCUCAGUGCUAAGGGUUGGGUUAAAGGGUCCUGGAAGGGAAAAGUGGAGUUCC
rnacentral:lncRNA from 1 species